rnacentral:rRNA from 1 species
GCGCAGCAGGCGAGAAACCUCCGCAAUACACGAAAGUGCGACGGGGUUACCCAAAGUGUCCAAAUUUGGACUGUGGUAGGUGAGUAAUGUCCCCUACUAGAAAGGAGAGGGCAAGGCUGGUGCCAGCCGCCGCGGUAAAACCAGCCCUUCAAGUGGUCGGGAUAAUUAUUGGGCUUAAAAGUGUCCGUAGCCGGUUUAGUAAGUUCCUGGUAAAAUCGGGUAGCUUAAACUAUCUGUAUGCUAGGAAUACUGCUAUACUAGAGGGCGGGAGAGGUCUGAGGUACUACAGGGGUAGGGGUGAAAUCCUGUAAUCCUUGUAGGACCACCAGUGGCGAAGGCGUCAGACUGGAAUGCGCCUGACGGUGAGGGACGAAAGCCAGGGGAGCGAACCGGAUUAGAUACCCGUGUAGU